AGACUUCUCAGACUCAAUCCUUUCUUGCUCUUCUCUCUCGAACAAAACCUCCCUCACCGGGAAUCGCUCCGCCGUGCCGGAGGCGGCGGAGCUUGACCAAAUCUGGAAAUUAUGACCUCGCUACAAACCUCUCUUCAUCCUCUGUCAGAAUCCCGCAUCAAUUUUGCCUGAAAGAGGCUCCCUCCUCCCAAAUCGAGAGAGGGAUUACGAACCCUAGAUCUAACAAUAAACCAAAUUAGACGAUAACAACCGCGAAUCAUGAAGCGAGGCCAUGGGGGAAGAAUUCAGGGGACACUGAUAUUCGUUAUAACAUCAAACAAUAGCGUAAAGAGAUGAAGAAAGUUGGAGGAAUUCGCGUUUACCUACCGGAGUCAGUCCGGCGCUCCUUCGACGACGUCGACUUGGCGAAAUAAACGCAAGGAUAUACUUCAAUCUCAGGGGCUGAAUUUGAUGAUUUGCUGCUGAACUUUGCGAAUCGACUUGCUUUGAGCAGAUAUUUGUGAGGAUGGGCAGAAGAUGAUGGAUGAAGGCUUGAAGGAAUAAACUCAUAGUGAAGUUUAGUGUUGGGGACACCAAUGGAUUGAAUUUGUUUUUUUUGUAAUAAAAUUGUAACGGUGACACAUUAUGAAUGUAAUAUGAUUUGAAAUGUAAUGAUCUUUUCUGAUUUGUAACAAGAUCAUGAUGGAAGCUCAAAGCAACAUGGAAU